GGGGGGCAAGAAUAGAUUUUUGAAUCAUGAGAACCUAAAAACAUCUGUAAGUCUAAGGGACCAUCUUAAAGAAGCCAGUGAGAACUUCUUCUAUUAUCUGGAUCACUUAAAAUCAAACCAAGCAUUUACCUACAAGGCCCCAGGGGCUCUGACAUUUGUGAUCUCAUAAUUCUUCCAUUGAUACCAUGAGGCUGGAAACCCUAUGGUUGCUGGCUUCCCUGGGUCACUUGGCUGCCUCUGGGCUGCCAACAUAGAACCCACGUCACAUAAAGCCCCGGCCCAAGUAAAAUGCCAACAUCCAGGCCAAAUCCACACUUUUCCAUUUGUGAACAUGUCGCGCUUAAGAAUUACCUCCCUUCUUUCUGGGAUGGCUCAAAUAAUGGAAGGAAUGGUCCUCCAUCACCUUGAGGUUUUGUCAGCUUGACGUCCUCAUCCAAGCCUGACCACAGCCGUUAUGACAGCAUGAAUGCAAACACCACCUCUCCUGACCUAGACGCUGCACCCGGCUGUGCCCGCUUCUGCUGUAGGGAGAGUCAGUGAGGUCCAUCUGCAGCCUUCCUCCUUUUCCUUGAAUGGGGCUUGGCAUUGAGGUUUGUGCACACCCUGUAUAGAAGGCAAAUGUUGAGGCCAGCCUUGUCCCCAGGCUCAGUCUUCCUGAAGACUUUGUCACUCCUGCUCACAGCACCCACUUUCUCCCCUUCCACACGGGAUGUGUUGCUUCCUCCUGUUUCUUCUCUUUGCAGAUCUCCAGUUUUCUGUCUCCUUCAAGAAAUCUCCCCAGGGCCUCUAUAUCCCCUUUUCUCUGCCUCCCUAUUGAAGCAGAUGUUUUACCUCAGCCUUUCCUAGUACACUGUACUGUUUUAAAAACUAUUGAAUGAAAGGGCAUGUUUUCCUUUCCUUUCCCCAUUUAGAUUACACACCUCUGGCAGUGGGGCCUCCAGCAAGUCUUAAAGAUCUCGACGCACCGACAUCUUGGCACAUAGUAGUUAACAAUAAGUAACUGUUCAAUUGGCUUCUAGUUGAACCUCAUAUGUCUUGGUUAACAUGUGCAGGAUUGGUAGGCAUUCAGCCCCAAUUAUUCCGCCCUUAACUCAUUUUUGCAGUUUAUUAAUAAUCAGUUGGCACGCAGUUUCGAAAGAACUAAUUCUGUAAUAACAUGUUAUGGCUACUCCUCGGCGCCAUUACAUGCCUGAGGUCCCUUGCUGUCCCUUUGUGUUUUUGAUGAAAGGUAACAGCCUGGUGUUCCCAGCCGUCACCCAGAGGUGGGAGCAGAUCCGGCUGCUGCAGCUUAUUGCUAGGAAUGGGUGAGGCUGAGUGGAAGCUUUAGUAACUCAGGUGCGGCUCUUAAGCUUUGUUUUGAGUUUCAAAAGGGCUGUUUUGUCCCUUACUCGUGAAGUGGCCUUGUGUGACAUAAUGGCCCCCUCUGUGCAGGGUUCGAGGGGAAGGGAAGGGGAACAUGCCCAGCGACUCCACGUGGGGAAGUUGCAUUUCCACACCAUUCACAGGGGAUCCAGUGUUUUCGGAAUUGUCUGGGUGUGAACAGCAUAAGAGGUGCUAGAAACUCAGCAAGGGAAGGGGGAGCUGGGCCAGGAGGAGAAGGCUGGGGAUGGGCUGAGGAGAGAGAGCUUCCUGGCCAGAGGCAGCCCCAGGCAUGGGUCUUGGGUUCUGAGUGGGCAGGAUUCUGGCUCAGGGUGAGAGGUGAAACUUCGUUCAGGAGAUAUACGCUGAGCCAUCCACUACGUGCCAGGCACCUUAGAAAGGGCCGGGUAUUCAUAUUGUGACUUCACACGGCUCCCUGCAGAGUUGACGUUGGGAGCUGCCCUGCUAGCCACGGACCACAUUGUGAACAGCACCCCCUGGGGGUGGGAGAUGUGGUGGGCGGAGUUCAGGAUCCAGCCACAGGGAAAGAACGAACAGGCAAACUGUGGGAUCCCGGCCUGCCAGGGAGGGUUCAGGGUAAAGCCUUCAGUUUGCUUGUUCAUUCAUUUAUUCAAUAUUUAUUGAAGGCCUCACAGGGAGGUGACAAACUCUAUAGACACAUACACGGGGGAAGAGCACGCCAGGCAGAGGGAACAGCAGGUGCAAAGGGGAUGGCGCUUGGUAGGUUCCAGGAGCGGGCAGAACAGAGUGGCUGGAGCAGAGUGGGCAAGGCUGGGGGGCAGCACUGAAGGAGGCACAGUCAGAAAGGGGACAGGGGGCUGGUCACAGGGGCAUGCAGCCCAUGAUGAAGCCUUUUGACUGAGAUGGGGAGUAGAGAGGGGUCUUGAGCAGAAAGGUGACGUGAUCCAACCUUUGUUUUAACGUAGCGCCAUGGCUGCCAUGAUAUAAUCAUAGACCGAAGGGGUCAAGGGUAGAAAAUCAGAGACAAGUUGUUGGGCCAGUGGGGCCUGGAUGGUGGCAGUAGAAAUGGGGAAAGUUCUCAGAUUCUGGACCCAUUUUGAAGGAGGAGUGACAGGAUUUGCUGAUGGAACAAAUGUGGGGAGCAAGAGGAAGAAGAGUUAGGAAUGUCUCCUGGGCAGUGGGAAAGAAGAAAGUGUCAUUGACAGAAAUGGAGAAGACUGUGGGAGGGGCAGGUUUGGGAGGAAAUAAUUAGGAGCUCUGUUUGGGACAUGUUGUAUUGGAGAUACUUUUUGGACAUCCAGUGGGGAGAGUGAUAGGUGGGGUAAUUGGGUCUAGAAGUCAGGGAUGAGGUCUAGGUUAGAGACAGAGACUUUAGUCAUCAGCAUGUUGAUGGUACUUCAAGCCAUGAGACUGGAGGAGAUCCCUGAGACUGAAGCUGAGAAAAAAAGAGGUCAAGGGCUGAGCCGUGGGCACUACAGCUUUUGCACACUGGAGAGAAGAGCAAGAACUGGCAAAGGAGACUGAGAAGGAGCAGCCAGAGAGGCUUUUUCUAGCAGCUGUGAUCAGCAAGGGGAAAGGACCUGCCUAAAGUCAUCACACUGCUAAUUGGGGUCGAGUUAGAACCCAAGUCUCUGGGCCCCGCUUGAGGCUGUUUACCUCUUCAGGACAGAAGGGACCAGCUGGAUAUAAGAGCUGAAGGAGAGAGACCAGACCAGAGCAUCUAUUCAGGAAAUUUUAGGCCCUUUCUCAGACGGCCUAAAAUUAGACCUUCGCCACUCCCAACCAAAGCAUGUCAUGACAUGGAAGAAGGUGGUCCCUGGCCUAAUGACCCAUUUCUGUAAAAAUGAGGUAGGAUGUGUAAACAGUGCAAUAAGACUAUGGAACAACAGACCGUGAGCCAGUGUCACCUUAAAUGUAAACGUUAGAGAUCUAGGCUUCUGAAGAAAUGUUGGAAAGCCUAUUAAACCACAUAGGUUUGGGAUUUUUCAUUGUGUAGCAGACAUAUGGCUUAGUGUUUGAUUUAAAAAAUAGGAAGUUGGUGGCCAUUUUCAUGAAUAGUUUGACAGCCAGUCAGAAGUGUGAUUGUCGUUUUACCUAAACGCAACUGCUGUUGUUCGUAAGGUCAGAAACCUGCUCACAGGGGCGGGGGCGGGGAGGUCUGGUCUGUUGGCUGUUUGACCCAUUUGGUUACGACCUCCAUGCUUUGUCCUGAGUAGGCUGGUUCAUGCUGGCAAGUCAAUGCAGAAAUAUUGAUCAGGUUCCUACUAAUUGCAAGGAUUGGGUUGAACGUUGCAGUAGGUAAGUAAAAGAUGAGUGGGGCCAUGACCUUAUAUAGGAACUGUCUGUUUCCUGGUCCACCAGAGCAACAACACAAGUAGUGGAACUGAUCUCAAGGCAGGGAAAGGUUAGUGUCACAACAGAAGAACAGUGAGCUUUGGAGCCUCAAAGAAAGAGGGGCCAUCUCCCUGUCCUUAAAAGAAAUCUUCCUCCUUUUUACUACCAUCGUAAGAGUUUACCUACUCCAGGCCCUGUGCAUGCUAAGCGUUCACUCAGUUAAACCACCACACAAUCUUAGGAACUGGAUUAUACUAAUACCUUUUCAACAUGUGGGAGCUGAGGCUCAGAAAGAUUAACUUUAGAUCAAGGUAACAACUGGUAAGGGGUACAGUCAGGAUUCAGUCCUAGCUCAGCCAGACCCCACUGUCAUGUGUGACCUUGCAGUGGGGCAGGGAGUGGCAGCAGGAGACUGAGUGGGAGCCCUUGGGUCUUUGGGAUGGUUUCACCUUUGGAAGAUCCAGGCCCCUCUUGCCAUGAGAGCCCCAUGAAGGGCUCAUGGCCUGGAGCGGGUGGGAGGGCAGGAAGCCCAGCUGGGCACGGGGCAGCUGGAGGAGUGCCUUAUUUGAGGCUGCUCUCGCAUCAUCUCAUUAGGGAUAAUCAUUUGUAGACUUGCUGCCACUGCAAACCAUCGGCCCCGCUCAAAUUUUCCCUGCAGCAGUGAUGAUGAAGUGAUUCCUUAGCAGAACUGCUGGGUAACACAAUUAAUUCAGACUUGGGGUGGAUGUUAGUGUGAAUUAGGGGGUCUUCUGAAUUAUAAAACCUUUCAAAAGGAGCACAGGUUUAUUGCUUCUGAACUUCACCAGGAAUUGAAGCCAGACUGGCAAGGGGGCUCCCUGGACGAAGUCCUCUGUGUGUCCCUUGUAGGUCAGUGGUGCUUUUUCCUGCAUUGGGGGGGCUUGAAGGUUGUUUCAUAGCCAUUUAGAUAUUCCCCUUGGAGUCUUGCUUGCAAUUAAUCUGUACUGUCUGUAAAAAGGGUUUGCCUAGCAAAGGUAAACUCCAGCACCCCGAUCCACAUUAAUGAGUUUUGCCUGUGUAAACCACGUUAAUUGUGGUUGUUGCUUUUUAAUUGUCCUUAAGUUUCUUGUAUGUUAACUGCUCCAGGCUAGAACUCUGGUUUCUGUUUCCGUUGGGGGCUCUAUUCUCACUCCUACCCAAAUAGCCUCGCCAAUCUGCACUGAGAUCUGCUCCCCUGCCCCCACCCUGUCUGGCAUUAGUACUAAGAAGAGAAUGAAGCUCAGAAAAACAGCCUCACUGGCCUAGAUGAGGAGGCACAGGUAUGUGGGGAAAACACGAGUGGAAGCCACAAGGUCUUCUGAGGGUCUGGAACUACCAGGUCAAGAGAAGAAAGACUUCAGAUUGUCACUGUUGGAUGUCUUAAUAUGAGGAAGGACUCAAACAGAGCUGUCCGCAGCUGCAACUGGCUGUCUUGAGAGGUGGUGACCUUUCUCGAGAAGGGUGGAAACUGUAGCCAGACAACUACUUGGUGAAGCAGCAUACAGAGAGAUCGCCCUUCUGAUGAUGCGCCCAGUCUGAGGCCUCACUGAGAUGGCCUCAAGAGUGUGUCUUGAGCUGGUUAGAAACUUACCAUCCUGGGCCCCACGACACACCUCUUGACCCAGACUGCAUCUUAACAGGAUCCUCAGCUAAUGCAUGCGAUUGUUCACUUCCAGGGCCUCUGGUUCAGGACCAGGGUGCAUGAGCAUCACCUGGAGGAGAUUUUUAAUACAAAUGCAGGGGCUGAGCUGCUGGCCUAGGACAUAGAAGGACCAUUCCCAUACCUCACAGUCCAGCUGUCUCCCCAUUCCCUCCCCCCUACAUGCUGUUGUGUUUCCAAGUUCAUGCCUGUGUGCACACCUGCACACAAGGGAAUAGGAAAAUGGCUUUGAUGUAUGGAAUCAUGUCUACAAGCUGCUUCAGUCAGGGGCCCUUCUUGCUGAGAGACCAGGCAGCUUUCCCAGGGAGCCCCAGGGCAGGGGCCUGAGGCACCUGCUUCCUGUUCUGUCCCCUGAGAGCUCCGCUUUGCCGGGAGAAAGGAGAAGCCUAAACAGGGUGGGCUGGGUCUGCGAGGCCUGCCUAAGGCUGCCCUCUGCCUUCCCAGCCCUUCAGUCCCUGAUCCUUUCGGGCCCCUCCUAGGCCAGAAUGUCCCAGAUUAGAUGGGGUGGGGAGGAUGUCUUCUGGUUGCUGUAGGCCUGCAUUAGGGGAGUAUCCUCUCUGGUCCCACGUGGGGCAGGUGCCCAGAGCCAGGAAUGAGCCGCCUGUGGUGAUUCCUGUGUGUCUGGAGUCCAGGAGUCCCUUGCACUGUUGGCCAGUGGUCACUGUGCGGUGAUUGACUGGGCUCAGUGUCUGUAGCUUUUGUCUGAGCCCCUUGCACCCCUCCCCGGGGAUGAUUGUCUGAGUUGGUGGAUGUUAAUCUGCAGCCCCUGAGAAGCUGCCUGGCAAAUGGGAGGUUAAUGUGCAAACAGCGGGGAGCAUUGUCCAUGUGUGAGGCUGGACAGCAAGUGGGAGGGAAAUAGUUAAAAAUCCUAUUCAUGGCUCAGGAGGGGAGGAGGGGUGGGCGCAGGAGCAGGCCCGGCCUUGUGCUAAUCUUGCUGGAAUGUAACUAGUUCGGGCAGUUUCUGGCUUCGAUGUGCUUUGGGGCCGGUUGGCGUCCCCCCCGCCCCAACCCAGUACAUCGAUGGUGCGUCCGCGCGCCGAAGGCUGCUCUUUGUGUUCUCUGCAGCCACAGCUUAGAAGCGUCCGAGUCAGACCGCUUUCAGUUGUAAGGAUGGGGAGGGAGGAAGCUCAGCGAGGCAGUUGUGUUAUCCAAAUCCACAGGCUCUUUCUCUGUUGGAGGAUUUGGGUGGGGGAAGGGAAUGGGCAGAAGAGAAUGUUCAAGGAGAAAGACCCUAAACCUGUUGGGUCAGGCUGCUCAGCUGCCUAGAGGCCUGGGAAUGCCUAGGGGGAAGCCCCUGCUUCCGGACACACAAUCAAUUACAUAUAACAGUGGGGCCUUGUGUGUGUAGGCGGGACACUGGGAGGGGUCGGCUCACAGCUCAUGUUUUAAUGCUUUACAAGGAGAGUGUGUUCAUGCAUUGCUUCUGCAACUUAUAAUCAAUUUAAAACAUUCUACAUCUUGAUCUAGGCUGGUGGUUACAUUGAUAUUUACAUAUUGGGCCAGGUUUGGUGGCUCAUGCCUGUAAUUUGGGAGGCCGAGGUGGGUGGAUCACCUGAGGUGUCAGGAGUUCGA
rnacentral:lncRNA from 1 species